rnacentral:rRNA from 1 species
CCCUUAGAUGUUCUGGGCCGCACGCGCGCUACACUGAGUGGAUCAGCGGGUCAGGUUGCGCGAAAGCGUUUCCUAAUCUUUAAAUCCGCUCGUGAUGGGGAUUGACGGUUGCAAUUUUCUGUCAUGAACGAGGAAUACCUUGUAAGCGCGGGUCAUCAUCCCGCGCUGAAUACGUCCCUGCCCUUUGUACACACCGCCCGUUGCUCCUACCGAUUGAGUGGUCCGGUGAGGCUUUGGGAUCUGAGCGGAAAGAGCGUUUCGCUGUUUCUGCUCGGAAAACUCAGUCGAACCUUAUCAUUUAGAGGAAGGAGAAGUCGUAACA